rnacentral:tRNA from 1 species
GGGCCGGUAGCCAAGCGGGUUAAGGCACCCGCCUUUUAAGCGGGGAAUCGUCGGUUCGAACCCGACCCGGCCCA